rnacentral:rRNA from 1 species
AUGCCUCGGUUCACCUGCUUCCUGAUGUCCAAUUAUUUUUUGUUGUUGCUAUAUUCAACCUCAUCUCUGAAAGCCUACACCUUCCUGUGCUGUUGCUAUAUUCACGAGUUUGACAGGAGAAGGGACUGGAGGCAUACAGUAGGCAGAACAGUGGAACAAAACUCAGCUUCAAUUAAUCGACAUGGUGUUCGCAAAUGGAAAGUCGUUCCUGCUGCUACAGUUCAUUGGUUCAAGUCCGACACUGAGCUCACAAUGGACGUUGAGUUGGUGGACACAAUGGACAAUAAGCCCAUGAAGCUCCAGAAGUCCAGAUUUGGAUACGUCUUGGAUGUGACUAAUUGUAUGACAUGCCGAUAUCUGGCGAGCCUGGUGUGUUCUGUUUUCUCACACCCGCCGCCGUCGCACAAGGUGAUUGUUGGACGUGAGCGAGCUUCAGGAGCACUUCCUACAGUUUUACUGAUCUGGACACACCACCUUCUCAGGUCUAAAAUUUUGAGUUUUCAGGUCUAA